rnacentral:tRNA from 1 species
GGGGAUUUAGCUCAGCGGCAUAAGCACCUGACUUUCAAGCAGGUGAUCAUGAGUUCAAUCCCUG